rnacentral:misc_RNA from 1 species
GAAGAAGAUAGUUUAAAUAAAUGUAACAAAUGUUGUGUAAGAUUUGUGAUGAUCAGCAUUUCUCUUCUUUUUUUUCAUUUGGGAUAUUAUGGAAUUUGUCUUCCUUUUAUAUUGUUCAUUUUUUUGGUUUUGAUGCUUUAAUUUGAUUUUGUGGACUUCGAGGAAAAUAGUAAAUUAAACAAAUUAAAGUGUUGUGUUUUUAGCUUUAU